rnacentral:rRNA from 1 species
UAAGGCUGAGACACGACGUCGAGCAUCUACGGAUGUGAAGUCAUUGAUGCCAUGCUUCCAGGAAAAGCCUCUAAGCUUCAGAUUGUAAGGAAUCGUACCCCAAACGACACAGGUGGUCGGGUAGAGAAUACCAAGGCGCUUGAGAGAACUCGGGUGAAGGAACUAGGCAAAAUGGUACCGUAACUUCGGGAGAAGGUACGCUCUUGAUGGUGAAGUCCCUUGCGGAUGGAGCUGACGAGAGUCGCAGAUACCAGGUGGCUGCAACUGUUUAUUAAAAACACAGCACUGUGCAAAAUCGUAAGAUGACGUAUACGGUGUGACGCCUGCCCGGUGCCGGAAGGUUAAUUGAUGGGGUUAGACUUC